rnacentral:rRNA from 1 species
AUACGGGCAGGCUAGAGUUCGGUAGGGGAGACUGGAAUUCCUGGUGUAGCGGUGAAAUGCGCAGAUAUCAGGAGGAACACCGGUGGCGAAGGCGGGUCUCUGGGCCGAUACUGACGCUGAGGAGCGAAAGCGUGGGGAGCGAACAGGAUUAGAUACCCUGGUAGUCCACGCUGUAAACGUUGGGCGCUAGGUGUGGGGGGCCUCUCCGGCUCUCUGUGCCGCAGCUAACGCAUUAAGCGCCCCGCCUGGGGAGUACGGCCGCAAGGCUAAAACUCAAAGGAAUUGACGGGGGCCCGCACAAGCGGCGGAGCAUGCGGAUUAAUUCGAUGCAACGCGAAGAACCUUACCUGGGUUUGACAUGGCCGCAAAACCUGCAGAGAUGUAGGGUCCUUCGGGGGCGGUCACAGGUG